rnacentral:misc_RNA from 1 species
AUUUUUCAAUUAAAUAUUUUCCAUACACAAAUUUCAUUUGUUCUUUUUCUACUAAACAAUUGUUAGCUUCAUAUUGUUAAUCAAGAAAAAAGAACUACUUUAACUCUGUUAUUUUUACAUGGUCAACUCUCUAUGUGGUUGCAUAUUCUAUUUUGUUGUUUGAAGAAGAUGUAUUCACAGAUAGUGAAUUACAAAAAUCUAGAAGGAUAGAAGCUAUCCAUGUGUUCUAAAAGGCGGAAUAUGUAACUUAGCACUUGAACUAUAUUUGUGAAAAGUUCAGGGCAGCCUCCCUCUCCUUUUAUUUUGACCUAUCAUA